ACUCAAAUGAAUAGACGGGGACCCGCACAAGCGGUGGAGCAUGUGGUUUAAUUCGAGGCAACGCGAAGAACCUUACCAGGCCUUGACAUGGGUAGUUUGGAUAGCAGAAACGUUAUCCUUCAGUUCGGCUGGCUACCACACAGGUGCUGCAUGGCUGUCGUCAGCUCGUGUCGUGAGAUGUUGGGUUAAGUCCCGCAACGAGCGCAACCCUCGUCUUUAGUUGCCAGCACGUAAUGGUGGGAACUCUAAAGAAACUGCCGGUGAUAAGCCGGAGGAAGGUGGGGAUGACGUCAAGUCUUCAUGGCCCUUACGGCCUGGGCUACACACGUGCUACAAUGGCAUUGACAAUGGGCUGCUACUUCGUGAGGAGAUGCAAAUCCCAAAAAGAUGUCUCAGUUCGGAUUGUACUCUGCAACUCGAGUACAUGAAGUUGGAAUCGCUAGUAAUCGUAGAUCAGCAUGCUACGGUGAAUACGUUCCCGGGUCUUGUACACACCGCCCGU
rnacentral:rRNA from 1 species